rnacentral:rRNA from 1 species
CUGUUUAUCAAAAACAUGUYUUAAAGAAUUUAAUUUUAAGUCAAAUYUGCUCCAUGAAAUUAUUAAAUAGCUGCAGAAUUUUAACUGUACAAAGGUAGCAUAAUCAAUAGUUUUUUAAUUAAAAGCUGGAAUGAAUGAUUUAAUAAGGAAAAUAUUGUCUCAAUGUUAUAAAAUAUAAAAUUUUUUUUUUAGUUAAAAAACUAAAAUAAAUUUAAAAGACGAGAAGACCCUAUAGAUUUUUAUAAUUUUUAUUUAAAAAAUAUUUAAAAUUUUUAAUAAAAUUUAAUUUAAAAUUAUUAAGUUGGGGAAAUUAUUAAAUUAAGAAAAUUUUAAUAUAUAAUAAACUUUAAUUAAAGAAUUAUUGAUCUAAAUAUUUUAAUUAAUAGAAUAAAUUACCUUAGGGAUAACAGCGUAAUUUUUUUGAAGAGAUCUAAUCGAUAAAAAAGUUUGCGACCUCGAUGUUGAAUUAAGAUAUAAAAUUAAAGAAGAAUUUAAUUAAUUUUGGUCUGUUCGACCAUUAAAAUCUUACGUGAUCUGA